UAGGCAUUGGGAUGUAAGGUGAUGAAGUGCUGGGCUCUGAUGUACUUAAGAACAGGAAGUGAGUUCCUACAGGUGUUUACAGAGACAAGUUUUUUUUCUGAGGAGAAAGGGAAGAAGAGUUCUGAAGGAAAUUACUUCUUUUCAGUUUACCAAAGUGGACAAAAAAAAAAUCAAGCAGCUCUACUCAGCAGUGUGAAGGGCGUCCAGGGAGCUUAUAAGAAAUGUCUGCCCCUUUAAGCUGUCUUUGGUUCACAUUGUGCCGCUGUCCCAGCAUACAUCACAUGAAUCAGAAGGUGUGUUCCACCAGAGAACUAAAUGCACCCAGCCCUGCUGAUGCUCCAGUCCCCAGGGUCAUGCUGACACCAGUCCAGAGAAAAACGCUAUUCAUAUCACACAGCUGCGCACCCUGGGCCAAAGACAAUAAAUAAUGGAGACAUCAUUUUUGUUGAAGCAUCAUUCCUUGGAAGCACCAUUUUGUUGUGUCCUACAAAUAAUUUUUGUCUUCUACCUAAACCCAAAUAAAGUUAGAGUUUUAUUUCCAAAAAUCAUGUCAUAUAUUGAAUACCUGCCUAUAAUAUUACGUGUCAUUUUUCCCACUUUCCGCCCAAAUAGAAGAGCAGUCCUCAAGAGCAAGCCUGCACUUUUCUUUGUAGCCCAUUUAAAUACUCUCUUUGUGGUUCAUUACCUGCUUGUUAAUAGAGAUUUUGAUUUUUUAUCCUAUGUCUUGUAAAUCCAUUAGGUUGAAGCAUACAGGCAUUUCAAGUCUUGUCUCUGAAAUGCAUUCUCUUGUGUGCACAGUAUGAUCUGGGCCUUUAAAAUCAAAGCAGAAAGCUGGGGAAGAAAAGGAAGUACUCACUCCGUUUAUCAAUAAGACCAAAUUCAAAUGUCCUCUACAGUCAGUGAAGAGAAGUGGGACUUCAGGGACCAAUUCUUCAGAACCAAAUUUGGCUCCUUUCCCGAAUUGCUCUCCAGAGAAGUAUUUUCUUUCUACUGACUAAGGAGAGAUUGCAGGGACAGCAGCUUGUAAGUUAAAUUGUCAUAGCCAGGUUGUAAGAAUAUCCAGCCCUCCAUGUCAGGGUUAAAGCCAGGACCAUACUAGCAUCACACAGCUGAUGAAAAGUGACAUGCAGAUGAAUGCCAUCCUCUCCAUUUUUUGCCCUGUCUCUCUAUUAGAGCGUAACUAUUUCCCAAAACAGACCCAAAUACUCUCCUUCUGUCCUCCCCUCCUUUCAUUUUAGAAUCCUCCCUGCUUUUUUUUUUUUUUUUCAUCCUUUGUGUGAUUGUUGAAGAGUAAUACCUGAAAGGUCAGUCAUCUUUCACUUCCCAAAAGUGUUCAGCCUGAAACCCCAAGGCACUUGCUUUCUUAUUAUUAAUCUCUAUUUUUAAGGAUUCAACACAGCUCAGUGGUAGCACUUCCAGUUGGAAAAGAGAUUCCAAGAGUAUUUUUUUCUUCACUGUAUAUCAUGAACUGAAUCUACCAACAGAUCAGAAUUGAAUUUGCCCAAUUGUUUUCAAUGAAAAAUCUGAGUCUUGACUUUUCAAGAGAAAAAAACACAAAAACCCCAAACUGUUUUUUUCUACUGAAGUGAACUUCUGGCAAUUUUUAUGUGUAGCUUUUUUCCCUUUAGCUGGAAAGGCACAAAAGCUUGGCUUCGUAUCAAGCCUGAAAUAAUCCUCACUGAUGUUUUCUGCCUUUCCAGCAAACUGGACAUUGAUCAAAGCUCUAUACCAGGGCUUUAAAAAAAAUCUCAUUUAUAAUACAGGCAAGCAUAAGUAAAACAUUGUAAGCACCUCCCAGAAGCUAAGGGAAAAAAAGGACUUAUGUCUUAACUUGUUAGAACUGAGAUCUGUUACAUUGUAGUCUCAAUUUAAAAAGACAACUGGGGAGAAGCCAAAACUCUGGUUUAAUACCACUACAUCAUGAAAAACAAAACCAGGAAUCAUUCUGAAAUUAUUUCACCCUGCCAUUCAUAGAGAGGUCUACUUACUAUUACUAUUACUGUGCAGAUAGAGGUGACACAAGCACUGUGAGUUUAGGGACAAAAUAGAGUUGACCACUACUCUUCGGAGUGAGGAAUUACAACACCUCUAGCAAACCAACAAAGCUGGUUGAGCAUUUUGCCUUCACCAGUAAAAAUAAAUACCAUUCUGAAGCUGACCUACAGCAAAGUUUAUUUAAUUGUAUACACAGCACUUUAACAUCUCCAGGUGAAAGUUACAGUACAAUCUGAGAUAUUGUUGAUCCAGUAGCUAUAGAUGUCUAUGUCUAUUUUUGGCUUCAUAAGACCAUGCUUCUCAUUAUGCAAAAGUGCCACUGAUUCUGUACAUGAUUUUCUGAUCCCCAAAAAAGUACACAGGGGCAGGUUAAUAUUCACUGAUUUAAUAGAGAGGUACUCACAUUUCUAGGGAUGGAUGGCAAGUAAAGUGUCCACGCUACUCCUUAGUGCUGUGCCUAGGUACAUAACAGAAAACAAUAAAGCCAAAUACCAGCCAUGUUCAGGACAAGCCCCUGUAGUACCGCUUGAUUGUUUCUUCAGCAGUCAACCCCUGUGAUGACUACCCAUUUCCACCAACCUGUCUGUUCAUCUUCGAGCAGUUACAUCACAAAGAAGUGAUGCAUCUUGCAGAGCUUUUUUCAGUCUCCCCAGUUUAUCUUCCUCUGUGUUUCGCAAUGAACACUGACGUUUGUCCAGCUGCCUCCUUUCCUCCUGGCUGGGUUGAAUAAGGCUGUGAUUAUUUUCCAACAGCUUUUGCAAUUACUCUCAAAGAAAUAAAAUGCAAUCUUUUAGGUACAGUACAUCUCUCAUUAUGAUAAUUGUUCCUUUCUUCAUAAUAUUUCCACACAGACUUUAAUUGUCAAGCUUUUGUAGCUUGGCAAAGACUUCUUGAAGUCUGUCUGGGCUCUGAAGAACAAAAAAAAACUUCUAAAGGCAGGAUGACGACCCUAGUGAGUGUGGCUGCUACUCACUGUAAUGGUGUCCCUCACUUGUAUUGUGCUCUGCGUUUAUGUUUUGUCUUCUUUAAAAGCUCUUUACUAAUGCAUAACAUCAGCAAAAAUAGAGAAGAUUUUGUUGUACACUUUUCCCCCUGUCCUUUAUUUAGUUAAAAAAGGAGGUGGACAGUUCUCAUAAUGCAACUUCAUGUCCUUCCAUAUACGAAAUUGAGAGAGCAUUGUUUGAGAUUGUUGGCUUGGUUGGAAGUUUCUGCCUGUGAAGUUCAGUGGUGCUCUGUGCCUUCUACACCACUGGAGCAAAGGAACUUCUCUCAGAAAAUAUAUUGCAAAUAUUUUAUUGAGAACAGUUUAGAAGAAAAAUGUAUUGAAGUGUAUUAAAACAUAGAUCUUUUGAUUACAUCUUAUAACCAAGAUCAGACAAGUACCCUUAUUUAAAAUAUCAAAUAGAUUUAAAAAGCAAUGUUGAUGAAAAUCAUGGCCAUAUCUACACAUGAAUUGUAUGUAUAUCAUGACAAGUUCAAUUAUGUAUGAAUCCUUCUUUGAUUUUGGCUCAAAGCUUGCUUUCUGAGGCAUUUAUUGAGAUAAGAUUCUGACUUAGAUGAGAGGUGGGUGUUGCCGUGUGGCAAUCAACAUCACUGUGUGGACAAUUUUACAUUUGAAAGCAUCUCUUUGGAGCUGUUUGCCUCCAGAAGAGAGUGCUCAGGAGUGGUUACUGGAGGAAGAUCUGGCCUGUGACCAAAUAACUCCAGCUUGGUAUGGGAAAAACUGGGGAAUGAUACCAUCGUGUCCUGUGAAAAACAGCAUGCAGGUGGGCAUACCUCCUCCCUCUUAUCUGCUGGCAAGGCUCGGAAGAUGGGAACAAAGGAGUUUCUGCUGAGAUCCCAGAGCCAGUAGCUGCCACUCCAAGGAGAGCUGACUCAACCACUUUGGAUUCGAGCUGUCACUCCAAAGAGAACUGACUCAACCACUUCGGACUUAUAAUUAAGUUUGUACUGCCAUUGGAAAUUCUCGCCAUGGUCGCCAUCAUCAUCAACAGAGCAACAAUGCCCAAUGACCCACCACGUCUGAAGAUCAAUGACUGAACUAUGAACCACGUUGGACCCAUGGUGGUGACUAUCUCCCUCAUGCUUCCUAUAGAGAUUCCUUGCUUCUAUUUCCUAUAUUUUCUACUGCCUUUCUUCCCUUCCCCAUCACCUUAAUUCGUACCUAUAAAGACUCCUUGCUUCUAUUUCCCAUCUUUUCUAUCGCCCUUCUUCCCUUCCCCAUCACCCCAAUCUGUAAUUGUGUCCAUCCUCCCCUUCCCCAUCUCCCUUAUUAAGAUUUGUAAUGAACUGGUCAGACCAGCAUUUGAACCGUUGUUUCUUAAUCUCACACUGGGUAUACAUAUAUCAAAGAACCUCCUCUCCCUCCUAUAAAUUGGAGUGAGACAAAAAGGUCUUAUCUGUCUAUAGACUAAUCACAAAUUGACUAGUCCUUACUGAAUGCAACCACUGUGAAAUUCUUGACGUUAAGUAAGAUUUAUAAUUUUAUUUAUUUAUUUUUUAAUUACUAAACAGGUAAGAUUUGACAUCAAUUUUCAUGUGGCUUAAUGUAAGAAGUAUGGAUAAGAGAUCUCCAGUGCUGUGACUGUUUAUACCUAGCUAAAUCCAUUAGAGUAAAUUUUCUUUGCCUGAAGUGGUUGCUUUGCAUUAAUUUGCUUUUUAGUUUAAUGUAGCAAUAAAAAUGGUAAAAAUAGAUUAUUUUUUUGAAGUAUGGGAGAGUCUUCAUUUUAAAGACCAUUCAGGCAUUGCUUAUUUAGUAAUCUGUAAUUUGCCAUUUGCAACUAUCUCCAUUUAUUCUCCGCAACACAGUUAACAUCCUUCAUCAGUGCAUGCUUGGGAUUUAGGUAAUUAUGGUGAUGCAGAACUAUUAGAGUCCUCCUCACAGCAAGACAGGCUUGAGAAUUGCAGAAAAUGGCAGAGAAACAUGAUGCUGCAGGCAACAGAGCUCUUCAAUAAUACAUACAUGAGGGAUUCAGACUGCUGUUAAGUGACUCCCGAAGUGUCUAAAGCCACUAAGUCAUUUUAGAAAAAUGCAAGUUUAUUAUCCCCCUCAAUUAGAAACUCAAGGUCAUAUAAAUUCAUUCUACACAAUAAUUUUUUACCUGAUCUUUACCUAAUUAUUUUGUUUGUUUCAUUUGUUUCUUUGCAUCUAAUGCUGAGCAGCAAGUAACUCCUCAUAUUGUUACACAUAUGGCCCAGUUUUAGCACUAAACACAAUAAUGCACAUGUGAUUUAACAGCUUCAACAUUGUUCUGGAAUUUUCUCCAUCUGGAACACUCAUUAAGUGUGAGAAAUCAUGACUGGCUGAAGUUCAGACGGUGCCUAGCAAAAUUUUUAGCCUUCUCUGUUCUUGACUUCUGCAAAAGGAGAGAUACAUAUUGGAGGGAGAUGGUUGACUGGGGACUUGGUGUAACCUGUUUAAAUCAAUUUGGAUGAGAAUGUUUGCCAGUUUUAACAAAUGGCAAUUUACCUUAUGCCUUCAUGCUCCCACUAUUCUCAUAGUAACAGAGAACUUUGACUCAUUAUACUGAUCAUGACACUGGCUUGCCAAUUACUUUAAACACAAAACAACUAGAUCUGCUUCCUCAUGUUUCACUAAUUCCUGCAAAUGUUGCAGAUUUUUUCUCUGUGCUGUUUUAUGCAGCUCUUAAGGCACUCACCUAAAAUUCUUUCACAAGUAAUCACUCUUUAAAUGUCAUUUGCCCUACAUUUUCCCCCAACAAAAUUACCAUGUGUUUUGAAACCUUGGAAAUCUAGUUUUGAAAACACUGGAUGAGUAACUUCACAGGGGUUUUGUUUGUCUGUUUUGUAAGAAAGGUAAAAAAUGUUAAUGGAUCGUGAAAAUGUAUAGACAAAGCUAUCCUUAAAACAGUAUUUAUAUGUUUAUUCUUUUGCUUGGAGAAAGGAAGGGAGAUGUGGUGCUUGCUGACAGAAGUUAUGAGCAGAAAUCAGAUGGAAAAGAUGAAUAAAGGCAAAGUGUGGGACUGAUGUAUGCUCUUUACUUAUACUAAACAGAUUGUUAUAUUAAAGGUUACUCUCUCUAGAAGCUAUGAUGAGAUUUCAAAUUACAUAGGAAAGAGCCAUUAAAAUUCCCUCUUCUUGACUGAGAAUGGAGACUUGAAACUUGGUUCCCUCUAUUUUUCAAGAGCUUCUCACUGAGUUAUAGAAAAUCCUUCAAUAGAUUCUUUUGAUUCCCUUUUAAGCUGUUAUCAUUUUGUCUAAAACACUCACUAAUUUAAUAAUUUUUUGCAGUGCAGAUAAGAAGCUGGGUCUCUGGCUGACUACACUACUAGGAAGCUUCAGUGUUACUGCACUAGACAGACACUUUUGUGAAUCAGUCUUGAAGUGCAGGCCUAAUUAAAGGGUGAAUUUCUGUUUGGUUACUGUUGAAAAUUCAGGUGUGCCUAAACUGACCUAGUUUCAAAUUAUCACCAAGAAUAGCAUCUGGUUCAAAGUUUGCUUGCUAUAAAUAAAAGGUAUUAAAAGGUAAUGGUUGGAGAAUUAAUAUCUUCCCAAUAGCCCUUGGCAACGACAUAAGCAUUCAUAAGUACACACUAACAGAAUUCCAAAUUUAGGCUCACUUUUCAUCAAUGUGUGGACACCACUUUCUGAUGAGAAGCCACUGUGGAAAUGAAUAAUAAUCAGGAACUGACAAAAUAUGUUUUCACUUGAACAGUGUCAUCAUCCAAUUUACACAGCUUUAAUACUAGAAGACAAAUGAGCAGUGAUUAUCAUUUAUUUUGUCAGAAGCAAUAAUGGUAUGAAUGGCUAUGUCCAAAAUAAUCAGAAUAUUGGCUAUAUGCCAAAGUAAAGAACAACAUAUGAUCUUUGAUGGAUUUAGAUAUUUGAAUAGCUUCUGACUGUGAAAACAAAAAUGAAGUGAAUGGGAUGGAGAGUGGAGGGGGAAAAGGAAAAAGCAGGACAAGUAGCUGCAAGAUCAGACUUGCUGGAUGCAUGUAUCUUUAAAAUACAAAAAAGUUCCCAUACAAAAGAAAUCUUUUUGUAAUUAGAGGGUUCACAUUGCAUUUUGCAGCCCUUUUGUCUGUAUGAAUUAAACAAUCUCAUUCCUGGACUGUGAAUAGAAGAUCUGUCCACUGAUCAUAUCCUGCUGUCAACUCCUUUCCCAGAUAGUGGUUAAAGAAUAAAACAUUUUCUGAGCGCAUGAAAUGGUUUCCUACAGGACUGUUAUGCUUAGCUGCCUCUUUUCUAACCAACCUGUUUGCUUUGUCUAAUGGGUCUGAUACUUGGAAUUUGCAUUGAAGCUUCUCACUGGACACUGGACAGACAAAUAAAUGUUUUCUGAUCCUGCAGUGCUAGUGGCCACUUGAUAGAUGCUAUGCAAGCUCUGAAAGGUGUUAUACAAACCCUGCAGGCAUGUUGAAUUUUAUUCUCACCAUCAGGCAAAAGUAAAAGUAAUGCUGUCUAUGUGCUCUCAGCUGGAAAAUUGGAAUUGACACACUGAAGUUUGAAUGUUUGCUGUGAGCUACAGUCCCACUGGAUUGACAGCUGUUGUACUGGUUUUUGUCAACAAAUGUGGACUCAUUUGGAAAUUUAGUUUCUUUCUAGCUAACCAAAAAGCAUACCAAAAUAGUCAUCACAUUUAUUACAUGGUAAGCUAGUACAACAGUUGUUGAUGCCUUCUUCUGACAGUUCUUUACUUCGUGAAGAUUGGGAAGUCUUCCAGUUAUUUCCACUGGCUUAAAUAGUAUUGUGACGACAUAAUAUAAGCUCCCCAAAUCUUCCCCUGAAUAACCUUGGAUUUCACCCAUCACAUGUUUCUAUCACCUCCCUUCCACCAUCAGAGUUCUGCCGAGGCUUUCAGUUUGUGCUAACAUUUUAGGAAAGGCUCUGAGAAAUUCUGAUCCAGCCUGAGGCACUAUACAUUAAACAGCCUUGUGAACCUUGGAACUAACGAAGCCUGAUUUCCUACUUCAUUGAAUUUACUGUUCAAUGAAGUUCCUAUUACUAGUGUUCAUUUUUAAAGUUAGUUUGUUAGAUUUGUUAUGUUCUGUAUAUGUUCUGUAUAUGUUUUGUUCUGUAUAUGUUAUUUUCUGUAUAUAAAUUUGUUAUAUUUGUUGUUAUGUUAUAUAUGUUGCAGAAUAAGUUACUGAAGGGAGCUGUGUUUCCAACAGAAAAGAAAAAAAACGAACAAAUAAACAAUGAGACACCUUCUUUGUUUUUACAAUCAAAGUUAGUUGUAACAAGAGGCAAGCCUACUGAGCAUAAAAUCUGCUGCAUUGCAGUGAUAAGACAGCUGUGGUAGAAUCACCUUGGGAAACAGCUCCAAACAGUCAUUCUUUAACAGCCACCUUAUCUACAUGCUGUCUGAUUUGCAUAUUGGUUAACUACAUUUGGUAUAAAUUGUAAUCCAGUAAAAAUGUUUGGAC
ensembl:lncRNA